rnacentral:rRNA from 1 species
UACGGAGGGUGCAAACGUUGCUCGGAAUCAUUGGGCGUAAAGCGCACGUAGGCGGCCCAGCAAGUCGGGUGUGAAAGCCCUCGGCUUAACCGAGGAAGUGCAUUCGAAACUACUGAGCUUGAAUACUGGAGAGGAUCGCGGAAUUCCCGGUGUAGAGGUGAAAUUCGUAGAUAUCGGGAGGAACACCAGUGGCGAAGGCGGCGAUCUGGCCCGUAAUUGACGCUGAGGCGCGAAAGCGUGGGGAGCAAACAGG